UUGCCCACUUUGGACAAAUGGAAAAUUCGCACUUGCGCAGUGGCAAGCAUGUUCUGCAAGAAACGGAUACAGGCCAACUUAAAUAAAUACCCUGUAUGGAGGACCUUAAAAAAUCUCUGAGGAUGCCUCUGUUUGGAAACCCAUUUAGUCCUAAAAAGGUUCCUCCACGUAAAUCUGCCUCCUUGUCCAGCCUCCACACGUUGGAUCGUUCAACUCGAGAAAUAGAGCUGGGCCUUGAGUAUGGCCCUCCUGUGAUGAACAUUGGAGGUCAGGUCUUGAAAUUUGAAGAGGGACAGUGGAUUACAGAAUCUGGUGGAAAUGUGUCUAGUAGGGAAGUUCAGCGGCUUAAGAAAAAAAAUAUCCAGCUGGAGGAAGAGAAUAACGUAUUAAAACUAAAGAUUGAACUUCUCCUGGAUAUGUUAACGGAGACUACCGUAGAGUAUCACCUGAUGGAGAAAGAAGUGGAAGAUGUCAAGACUCAACAUCGAAGGAAAAAAUGACAGAUCUGAUCUAGUGCCUCCAUUGAAUAAAGCGUUUUCUUCCAAGUAAAUAUUUUUGUAUCGAUAGAUAACAGGACAAAAGUAAUAAUAUAAUCCAUUUUCCUCACAAUGAGGAUUCUUGUGUGUUACAUUUUACUCUUUAUUUUCCACUUACUGUAUGUUUUCUGUUUUUAAUUUGUUGAAUUAUUUCACCUUAAAAACCUUCUUUGUUCAAUACACAGCCAAUUUUCUACACUUUGUACAUCUGUAUGUGAUAUAAAACCUGCUUUUUAAUAUAAUUUUUUUCUAUUUUCUCUUUGGAUUAAAAGUAAACUCCAUUGACAAAAGGCAUUUCUUUUUGUUUGACUUUCGGUUUUUAGAAAAUAACAUUUGUGAAUUGUUGGAUUCAGAGCAGCUCUAAAAAUAUACAGUAACACAAUAGAAAGAAAAAAUUGAGAAAAGUAAGGCUUCAUUCACUAUUACAGCUUUUCAUUCAGCUCCACUUCCAAAUAGAGCAAAACCCUCAUAUACAGUAUGCCUUCCAUAUACUUACUGAGCAACUUUUGGGUGGUCAGAAUUAUUUAUAAGUAUUUUUAAUACAUAGCAUACAGAGCUUCAUUUUUUGUACAUUGUUUUUUUUUAUUUUUUUUAUUUAGCUAACAAACAGAAUAAAAACAUGCUUUUGAAACAGGCUCAAACCCGUGAAAGGAAAAGGGAAACCGGAGGUGUUAGAUUUAAUUCUUUUAUUAGUUUUAAUAGUGCAUAAACCUGCACAAACUCUGAGGCUGUAUCUGUAUGUUGAAUGUCAGCAUCUCCUUCCCAACCGACCAAUAAAGCCUGAUUUAUACGUGAAUUAUGUUAUGUUGUUCAGUCAGUCAUAGGUGUUUAUUGAGCACUGUAUAAAAUUCAAAUAAUCAAAUAUAUGAUUAUGAUUUUAUUUAUUUAUGCAUUAUUAUAUUAUUAAACAGAUAAGCGUUACAUGCCACUUUUAUGAAUGAUUUAAGUCUCUUUAUCCAAUUGGUCAAUGCACCUUUCAAUCAAAUGCGCAGUGCAGCUUAUAGUCCCAAGUGCGCAGGCGUACGUCUCCGCGAGCGAAAGAGGCGUCUGCCAAUAGCGGGAGAGACGAAGUACUUUUUAUUCUUUUCAUCUAGCACUUUAAAUCACCGGCGUUUCGAGUGAACUGUUGUAUUAUUCUUUGACGUUGUGGUGGACUUUUAUAGAACUCACCUAUAACAAUGCCUCGUGGUGGGAAAAAGGGCCACAAGGGCCGCGGGAAGCAGUUCAGCAACCCUGAAGAGAUUGAUCGUCAGAUGAGAGCCCAGCGAGAGAUGG